rnacentral:rRNA from 1 species
GGGGAAUAUUGCGCAAUGGGGGAAACCCUGACGCAGCGACGCCGCGUGUAGGAAGAAGGCCUUCGGGUCGUAAACUACUGUCAGGAGGGAAGAAACUGUUAGGGUACAAUAUGCCCUUUCACUGACGGUACCUCCAGAGGAAGCACCGGCUAACUCCGUGCCAGCAGCCGCGGUAAUACGGAGGGUGCGAGCGUUAAUCGGAAUCACUGGGCGUAAAGCGUGCGUAGGCUGCGCUGCAAGUCAGACGUGAAAGCCCUCGGCUCAACCGAGGAAUUGCGUUUGAAACUGCAGUGCUAGAGUCUCGGAGAGGUUGGCGGAAUUCCAGGUGUAGGAGUGAAAUCCGUAGAUAUCUGGAGGAACACCGGUGGCGAAGGCGGCCAACUGGACGAGUACUGACGCUGAGGUACGAAAGCGUGGGUAGCAAACAGGAUUAGAUACCCUGGUAGUCCACGCUGUAAACGAUGGAUAUUAGGUGUCGGGGUUAACACUUCGGUGCCGCAGUUAACGCGUUAAAUAUCCCGCCUGGGGAGUACGGUCGCAAGGCUGAAACUCAAA